rnacentral:piRNA from 1 species
UAUGAACUUGGAAACAGAGUUUAGCUU